UAAGUAUUAUAAUCGUUUCCCGUGACCGUUAAAUUGAUACACUCUCAUAAUGGAAUUAAUUAGAGACCAGAGGGUCUCACAGUUCUGCCUGCAUAUCGGCAAUCCUCGCGGCCGUCCAAUCGACGACCACACACAGGAAAUUUCAACGUACGUGAGGCCCGGGAGUAGCGAGUGCCGCCUCCAACCUGCUGUCAGAAAGUCAGCGACGUGUGACGAAUAAAAAUUGAUCCGUCGGAGGUUCGGGUAUCGAGCCAACGACCGGGCAUCCGAUCGAGAAACUUCGCGGACCGCGAUCGCCGGGCGCGGAGGAUGUCAGCAACGAGGAUAAUAAGGUGUUCCAAAAUGUGAACAACUUGUCUCUCAUUCAAAUUCUAACGCGGGAUAUAUGUAUACAUCUAGACGGCAAAACCCAGGAAUGCGGUCCAUUGCCACCGGCGGGUAAUUCUGUACAAUUAUCAACGCAACCCGGAUUCUUCUUUUCGCAUCUCUAUACAGAUCCGCACUAGCUCUUGGAUAUACGUGUACGCGUAUAUUCGUAUCGCUAUCAAAAACCUGCUGUCAAUUAACACCCGGCUGACCCCGCACGCGAAGGUAAAUCUUUCGGUGAAUCACGUCCUCCUAAUAUACUCGAUCCAACGGCGUGCAUGGAACCGAAUUUCUUCGCUAAACCGUUGACGUUUUUUUUUUGUUUUUUGGUUUUCUUAUUAAAAAUCUCACGGGCGGCUUUUCGGUCGUUUUCAAACGAAGAUUUAAUUCGUGGCAAAUACCACAAUGGCGGAACAGACAUCUUAAUUUCUCCCUCAGAUAUGAAUAAGGUUAAACCGUCAUAGGUGAGCCAGCUGAUUGUGAGUGAUAUAUCGAAAUCGACAACGGAUCAGAAUGUAUUUUGAAAAUCACCUGCGACUUACCGUAGGGUAAAUCGGUAUGCGAAAAACGUCGUGAAAAUAUCGCACCGCGUAAUUCUAACCAGCGUACGUUGCAAAAUAGUAGAUCAAACCGAGUAGAUAUCCUCCGUCCGGUCGCGGUGCUACGUGCUUCUCAAUGUUGACACCAAAUCGAACGUUAUAUACAUAUAUAUAUAUAUAUAUAUGUAAGUCGAAAAAGUGUAGACGUACAUAAUUUCGGAAUGCAGUUCGCUAUAUUUAAUUUAAAAGCUGCAUAAGUUUGUUUUUCUUCUUCCAGUUUUUUUUUCUCUUUAAAAUGUUAAUUCAAAUUCUUGAGCAGCGGUAAUUGUUUCGUGUAUAUGAAUAUAAUCAGGGAUUCUUAAAUUGGCUAUUCUGAAAUAAUCGACCAAAUUAUAACCACCUUUUUUUCAAAGAGGUUUAACUGCACAAUUCGUCGGUUAUCGAUUUUGAGGAUGAAUCGAAAAAAGAUAACGCUAAAACAAGACUCUCGGGAUAAUCGCUCGUCUGAUCAGAGAUCGGCUUUAAUUUUUAAUUUUCUUUUUACGUUUUCUGCUACAAGCUGCAGACCAUCGCCUAAUCGAUUCGCUAACUUUAAGUGCCACACACGGUCUUUUCUUUACUUUACUUUUUCUUUUUCUUUUUUUUUUCAUCCUCACUUUCGGCGGUCAUCUAUACGGUACACGACAUUUCACAGGAUUGUAUAGAGGAUAGCAUCGUUGGAAUCAACGAUGGAAAAUGUAUUUUUUUUUUUUCUUUUUUUUUUUUCAAACAGGCAGCAACUUAUUGUUAAUCCGAAACCAUAGGUAAAACUGAACGACGGCGGAUGUGUUUUCUUUUUCUUUUUUUUUUUUUUUUUUUUUUUUCACUCGUCACGCUGCGGGUGAUUGAUCCGAGUAUAACCGAAUGGUAUGUGUGUAUAGUUAUAAUAAAGUGGCGUCGAUCGGCCUUCCGGCGAUAAAGAGGCCGCGCGAAAGCGAGAUACCCGAUUAAUAAAACAAGUAAACAAGUAAACACCGUGAUCGUUGGCACCUGCGCGUCAUUGAAACGGCCGUAACGAUGCGCCCGACUAUCAUCUUAUCGGUUCGAAGGAAUUUCGAAAUUUUACGAACCGAUGAACGAAUAUCGGAAUCUGCGAUCGAUCGAAGUGUGACGCAGAUAUUAUACGCUACGCAAUUGGCUAGCGUCGGGAUGGAGAGUCGAGCAGCGGCCUGGCGCCGCUAAAUGACAUUUUAAGAAAAGAAAAAAAAAAAAAAAAAAAGAAGGAGAAGAGGAGCUGUCGCAGUUUCUGGAAUCCCAUCUAUGCGGCGCCAAUCGGACGACGUUAUUCUCCGACUCCGGAUCCGUAGAGGGUGGAAUUUUGUUUGUCGAUCGGAAAAUUUUUUUACUACACGAUCCUCGGCCUCUAAUAUUUCUAGAUUCUCGCACGCGAUCGGCACAGUUUGUUUUCUCACCGCCGAAACGUGUAACGGGUGGAUCCGAAGAGAAACGUGUUUGUUUUCGAACGAAAGGUCGUCGGAAAUGACCGAAAUGCGACGCGAAAUCGUGUACACGUAAGCCGAAAACAUUGCAGAACGAGAAAAAAUGUGGACUGCGUGCACAUCGGCUCCUGCAGUAUUCGUAUUUUUAGAAAGAAAUGUUUUCCAGGGAAUUCCAAAAAUGGAAGCCCCACCGCCACUCCGAUUUCAAUGACACGAAAAGUUGCAAUAAUAGCAACCGGAGCUUGAUAAAUUUCGAUUUGAAAUUUCGAACGAUUAAUUUGUUACCGCAACGCGAAUAACAAUCGAUCGAUACGCCUUCUUUUGUUUCAAUCUCACGACGUUCGAUUUCGAACCACGGGGCUAGUUCUCGUUAAAAAAUUUCGCGAAAAACGAUCAACGAAAAUCGCGUACAACAGAUAACGGAGGAAACGAACGGGGGAAUGAAAAUCGAAGAGAAAUUUAACGCGUUCGAAGAAAAGAAGGAAUCGUUGAUGCAUCGGUUCUCCGCGGGUAUCGAAUAAAAUAUUAUACGAAGAUUCACAUAACGGAUCGGUAAGGUGAUCGACGUAUCCUUGUUGACCGCACCAACGGUCACCUCGGUACAUACAUAUAACAAACCAUUGUAUUUCUCCCUGGGUUCUACGAAUCCGUACUGUAUUGUUUUCACCGCGGAUCAUAUUGUUCAGCGCAAUUUACGAAGCCGGAACUCCGACUGACAAUGAAUACAA